rnacentral:rRNA from 1 species
UACAGAGGGUGCGAGCGUUGUUCGAAAUUACUGGGCGUAAAGCGCGCGCAGGCGGCCCUUUAAGUCCGUCGGUCAAAUGCCGGGGCUCAACCCCGAGCGUGCCGAGGAUACUGGAGGGCUGGAGACACGUAGAGGCAAGCGGAAUUCCGGGUGUAGCGGUGGAAUGCGUAGAGAUCCGGAAGAACACCGGAGGCGAAGGCGGCUUGCUGGGCGUGAUCUGACGCUGAGGCGCGAAAGCGUGGGGAGCGAACAGG